GUUCCAGCUGCGAGAAGAAGGGAAGAGAGAGGGAGAAGGAGAGAAAGGAAAAGCAAAGGAGAGAAGGAAGAGCUGGGGCGGGGGGGGGAAAUCCUGGUCUGUGCGUGGUGGAAUUUCUCUGGAGAUAUUUGCAGGGUAGUGCGGUUAAAAAAAAUAAUGCUUAGAAAAACAAUAAAGAGUCCUGCCUUCCACGUGUGCCUGUAAGGGGAGGUUUUUGUCAGUGGCCUCCAUGGGAAGGUGGCGUUUGAGAGAACAAUUGCUGGGCUGUUGUACCGUGCCUGCCGCUAUGAAUGAAGCUUAAGAAAAGGUGUCCUUGGACUCUUGCUAAAACCCAUCAUCUUCUCCAUUCCCUGCGUGUGCCUGCUCGCUGCCGCUGCCUCCCAAAAUGGGUCGAGAGCUUAUAAACAAAGCGGUAUAAAAGAUGAGAUUGGAGUGUGCUCCAGCCUCAUUUCCUUGCUGGCGGCGGCAGCCGGCUCGCCGCUCGUCCCUGCUGCAGCGCGGUGGGAUGCCGGGGCUGCGGCUCGGUGGUCCUUGCUCUCUGGGAAGCUCUGGCAUUGCAGAAAACAAAGUUGAGGACAGAGACGGGGAGGGGAAGCUGGUCCUGAAAAGGGGCUUUGGGGCAACUUGUCCUUCGAGCUGGGCCACGUGGUCCCCGUGAGCGUCACGGGUGCUUGCUCGUUGAGGAGUGGGCAAAUACUGGCCAUGCACCUGCCUGGUGUGUUGCCCGGCUCGUUGCGGUGUUCUCUGGGCUGUGAAUUCACCCGUGAGCGCGAGGGUUUCUGUAGCACCACAGAGACGUGGUCCAGGUGAUGGCACCGUGUUGUUCUGCGGAGGUUGGACAUCCGUGGUCUGCAGAGGUGCCCCGGGAUCCCCACCACAGAUGAACAGGAUAAAAAAUGAAGAGCAUGACCUUGGAAUGGCUUUGCAUAAACCCUGGGAUGUGUAGGGAAGAAACAGAGUCAGAGGAGCAACUCUGAGACUUGUGCAAAGCCCUGUGGAAAAUAGGAGAGACCACGGCAGGGAGAAAACCCACCAGACUCCACUCAAGUCCCUAUUUUUCCCCUUUAUAGCCCGAGGGAUGAAGAACAGGCACAAACCCUGUAGAUAACCAGCCGAGAGCCCUGCUGUCCUUCUGAUCAGCCUUGUUGCACCCUGGCAGCUCCGCUGGCUGAAGCAGGUUGGACCCACGUCUGGCGUGUGGGGUGGGCGCAGCGUGGACCUGAGGACUCAUGCUGGCUCGUUGCCAUUUUCUGUUGGCUGAUAACUCCAAUGUUCUUCUUCUGUAGUGUAUUUAUUUACUUUUCUUUUUUUUUUUUCCCAUUGGAGAACAGGCAGCGCUGUGAGAGAGUUGGAGUUGCUGUGCAGUGAGUUGGGUGAUGAGGGGAACCUGGCUGGCAGUAGCCCGAGGCUAUCAUAAAAGAAACUGAAACAGGAGUGUUAAUGCUUUAGCUGAGUUAUGGAGAAAUGGUAACACUGUUCGAAAAGAAAUUGUGAGAGUAAGACAUCUGGGAGCAUGCUGCGCCCCUUCAGAGGCUUGGGAGCAAGUGCAGGCUGGAAGGACACUUGGGGGCACUGGUGGGGGUGUGUGUGCAGAAAGAUGCAGAACUGCAAAGAAUUUCAUCUGGAAAGGACCUUUGCAGGUCUCCAGUCCAACCCCACUCAAAGCAGGGCCAACCGCAUUGGGUUGCUUGAUGCACGUCCUGUCAAGGUCUGAAUAUCUCCAAGGAUGGAGAUCCCACAACCUCUCCGUGUCCCUGUUCCAGUGUCUGACCACCCUGAUGGUGAAAACAGUUUCUCCUAAUGCCCCGUGUCCCUGCUUGUGACCAUUAUCUCUUGUCCUGCGCCCCUCCAAGAACAGUGUGGCUCUAUCUUCUCUGUGCCCUCAAAUUAGGCAAUUGAAGACAACAAUAAGAUCCAUCCUCUUCCUUUCUAAGGCUGAUCAAACCCAGUUGUCUCAGUCUGUCCCCAGCUCUCACCAUCUCAGUGUCUUCUGCUGGACUCAAGCUGGUAUGUCCAUGUCCAUCUUGUACAAGGGGGAACCAAGACUGGACACGGUACUGCAGAUGUGGUCUUGCAGGUGGUGAACGCCCUUGGGUCUGGCCAGGAAACCUUCAAGUAGCAGCACUUUCCCUUUUAAGCAGGUGAAACCGAUUUGAGUUUCCUGAGGUUUCUCAAACGAGCUGCAGGGGUGCUGCCCCCUUCAAUCCCACUUGUCUCCUGCAGUCGAGCCCGCGUCUGGAAGGAGGAAGGAGUCAGAGAUCACCUGCUGAACCCGCUCCUCCGGGUACCAUCCCCAUCACCGCGAUGCUGCGGGGAAGGGAGGUGAAAUUUGAUUAUAUUUGGUCCUUAUUGAUCUGAAGUAUCCGCAGGCUCAUUUAGGAGCAGUACCUGCAAAUGGGGGUCAUGGAUGGAUGGAAUAUCUCAGGGAAACCCCAGCUCUGUGUCCCUGACAUCAAGAUAAACGGGCUGAUGUGAUACCAGUGUUUGAACCAGGGUGAUGUCCUCCAAAACGUCCUGUCCCAGGGCAAUCCCUCUCUUGGGAAAGGUAACUUGGCUGACCUGUUUAUUACAGCUGUUCCCUCUGGAUUGCUGAGUGGUUCCCUGAUGUGAUGCACAUUGUCUUGUAUCUGUGGCCAAAAUUUUCCUUUCUGUAUUCAUCUGGAUAUUGUUGUCAGAGCUUGGAGCACAGGAAGGAGAAACUUCAAGGACUUGCAGCAACUGGUGAAAAUGUCCCCAGUUUGGUUGAUACUUUCUCUGUUACUUCACUUGAUCAGG